rnacentral:lncRNA from 1 species
UGGUCUGGAGCACCUCCAACCCCCCAAAGAUCCCAUCCCAGCUCUUCUAACUCCGCUCCCUGGUCCAGAUCCUGCCGCCUGCUUCUCCAAGAUGGUCUGGAGCACCUCCAACCCCCCAUAACUCCCACCCCACCUCUUCCAGCUCCGUGCCCCCCUUCCCUACCUCCUUCUCGAAGAUGGCCUGGUGCUUCUUGGCCAGCUUCUCGGCCUCGGCGCUGAAGUUGCUGCGGUGGGCCUCGAGCUCCUUGUCGAGGCGCAGCUGGUGCUCGUCCAGCUCGGCCUUGAGCUUGUUCUCCAGCGCCAUGAGCUGCUUCUGGUGCUGGCGCCGCAUGCGCUUGUAGCCGCUCAUCUGCUCGCGCAGCGCCGAGUCCUGCUCGUGCUCCUGGAUCUGCCGCGUCACCAGCGACGCCGUGCGGAUGGUGGCGAAGUGCUCCCGGUUGCGGCAGUAGGCCCGGCGCCGGGCGGCCGCCGCCGCCGAGCUCUGGGCUUCCACCUCGGGCUGGUAGGGGUCGUCGUAGAGGUUGUCGUGGCCCUGGGGCGGGGAGGGAGGAAGAGGAGGGCAUUGGACUUGGGGAUGGGGCGUCCGUGGUGGUCCCGGCUCUCCAGGAGGUCCCCGGGGGGGUCGCGGCUCUCCAAGAGGACCACAGUGGUGGUUCUGGUUCUCCAGAAGGUUCACAGUGGUGGCCCUGGCUCUCUAGGAGGACCACAGUGAUGGUCCUGGCUCUCCAGGAGGNCCACAGUGGUGGCCCUGGCUCUCCAGGAGACCCACAGUCAGGGUCUCAGCUCUCCAGGAUGACCACAGCGGUGGUCCCGGUUCUCCAGCAGGUCCACAGCGGCGGCCCCCUACCCCUCCUCACCUCCUCUUCCUCGGCGGGGUCGGCGCUGGGGCCAUUCUGCGCCUCCUGGAAGAGGAUCUUCUUCAUCUUGCGGUACUGCAGGUUGUCCAGCUCCCGCACGGCGUCCUUGGUGCGCUGGAUGAGGUCCAGCACCACCGUCUGGGGCCGCUCGCGGAGCAGGAAGCGGUGCUGCGGGGUGGGUGGGAAAAAGGAGGGGGGGACAUCAGCGGGAUCGCCUGGGCCCCCACCACCACCACCACCACCAUCCUUGGUCCUUCCAACGUCUCCUCGCUACCUUGAGGAGCACGUCCGAGGUGGGCCGGUCCUGCGGGAUCUUCUGCAGGCACGAGUCCACGAAGUUACGGAAAUACUCCGACCUGCGGAGACGGGGCAGGGAGGAGGGGAAAGGGAGGAAGCGACGGCGGCCACCGUAGGGGCCCAGGCGUCCGGGUCGCCCCCACCCCAAAACCCAAAGAUGACGACGGAGGCGGGAAGGGACCCCGGCGUCCGGGCGGCUGCUCACCAGUGGCUGGCCUGCAGCACGGGCGACUCGUUCUGCGCUAUGUGGUAUAAGGCACUCAUCGCGUUCAUGUUGAAGAGCGGCGGCUUCCUCUCGGCUGCGGCGGAGGGGAACCGGGUGUCACGCGGGGUGGGGGACAAUUCCCCCCCCCAAAACGACCCCGAAAUGCCCCGAAACGCCCCGAAAUCGCCCCCGAAACGCACCCAGCUCGAUGCAGGUGAUGCCCAGCGACCAGACGUCCGCCUUGCCGUCGUACUGCCCCUCGUCCAUGGCCAGGAUCACCUCGGGCGCCAUCCUUGGUUUUGGGGGUGGGGGGGGUGGCAGGGGGUCAGGACCCCCCCCUCCGGGUGUCCCGUCCCCCCCCAAAUCCCGCCGUGUCCCCCCCCAUCCCUGCUCACCAAUACGGCGUCCCCACGAAGGAGUUGGCCGGGGCCACGAUGGAGGCCGAGCCGAAGUCGCCCAGUUUCACCUGCCCCGGCUCCGUCAGCAGGAUGUUGCCGGCCUUGACGUCCCUGGUAAUGGGGAGGAAGAGGAGGAAGAAGAGGAGAGUGUGAGUGUGGGGGGUCGGACAGACGGACAGACGUGGGGAUGGAAGGACGCGGGGGACAGAUGGACACAGGGACGGAAAGACGGAGGAAUAAGAGAACAGAAGAACAUGAAAGAUGGAUGGACACAAGGAACAACGAUGGGGAUGGAGAAACGGAGGAACAGACGGACACGGGGACGGCAUUGGGGAUGGAGGAAUGGAAGGACGUGGAAGAACGUGGGAGAAGGAUGGACACGGGGAAAGAGGGACAUGGGGACGGC